GGGUUAGGUUAGGUUUAGGGGUAGGGUUAAGUGUAGGGCAAGGUUAGGGGUAGGGUAUGGUUAGGGUAGGGUUAAGGGUAGGUUAGGAGCAGAGUUCCUACUCCAACCCUUAACCCUACUCCAACCCUUAACCCUACUCCAACCCCUAACCCUACCCCAACCACUAACCCUACCCCAACUCUUAACCCUACCCCUAACCCAACCCAUAAACCUAACCCUACCCCUAACUCUACCUCUACCC